rnacentral:lncRNA from 1 species
CUUUUACGACAGAAACCAGAGAGAGAUAGAGAGAGAGAGAUCUUCCGGCCUUCCGGCGCCUAUUCCGACAAUUUCCAACAGCAAAAAUGGGCGACAUACCGAACUCUUGCUCGAUGAAGAAACUCGUAUGCGUGAUCACCUGAAUAGUACUUUUGCAGGCGAAAUUAGUUGAGGUCGGGCGUACAUUGGAGUUGAGGCAUAGUCAACUACAUGGCUUACUCAUUUUUAUUUGAUUUAGGUUUUCCUUGAUUACCCUUGCUGUUAGAAUUGCUCUGAUUACCUGAGGAAAUUA